UCUGCGGGGCAUCAACGCGCGGCAGUCAGGCCCCGGCCCGGCUCAGCCGCACCGCCCCUUGCGGCAGUCGCUGUGCGGGGCCGGCGUUGAGUCAGAGUAGCCCGGAACCCGCCGCUUCUCCUCCGACUCCCACAACCCAGCCCCGCGCCUCCCGAACCCGGGUCGCCCAGUCGGCUCCUCCCGCUCCUCCGAGGGCUUCCGGGAUCCGCCUCACCCGAGGGGCGGCCGGAAAGGCGGGGCGCUGAGAGCGGCGGCCCCUACCGGAGCCCGCGAAUCGGCCGGAAUCGGCGGCGGUGGGUUGCUCCAGCAGGCCGUACUUGGAGGGGUGGGGCGGUCCCUCCGGAAGCCUCACUCCGUGAAUUCCAGGGAACCUCAGAGACAGUGUAACAUCCGCAGGCUUGAGCCCAUGGGAAGGAGACCACCUGUGCUCAUCUUACGAUCAGAAGGCGGACACCAGGCUGUCUGGAAAAGAGGAAAUUAGCUGGUGAUAGAGCGCUGUAUUCUAAGCUCAUGGAGAUCACCGUUCCCCACACCCCAGCCCAAGGAGGGUUCCCUGAGUGGGGGCCCUGGGUAGCAGCCGCCCUGCGCUUACUUGGGGAGUCGUGGCCCUCUGCCGCAGGGGAGCUCAGCACCACCAGGAUCGCCAGCACAGCUGCUCUACGAAGGCUUCUGGGAAGCAGCAGCGCCAUCCCCCGAGACAUACUUGAGAACAAGGGAAGAAGCGAAUGGCAGUCAGCAAAGCUUGCCCCAAA